rnacentral:rRNA from 1 species
ACUGCUCAGUAACACGUGGAUAACCUGCCCUUGGGUCCGGCAUAACCCCGGGAAACUGGGGAUAAUUCCGGAUAACGCACAUAUGCUGGAAUGCUUUAUGCGUAAAAUGGAUUCGUCUGCCCAAGGAUGGGUCUGCGGCCUAUCAGGUAGUAGUGGGUGUAAUGUACCUACUAGCCAACAACGGGUACGGGUUGUGAGAGCAAGAGCCCGGAGAUGGAUUCUGAGACAUGAAUCCAGGCCCUACGGGGCGCAGCAGGCGCGAAAACUUUACAAUGCGGGAAACCGUGAUAAGGGGACACCGAGUGCCAGCAUCAUAUGCUGGCUGUCCAGGUGUGUAAAAUACACCUGUUAGCAAGGGCCGGGCAAGACCGGUGCCAGCCGCCGCGGUAACACCGGCGGCCCGAGUGGUGAUCGUGAUUAUUGGGUCUAAAGGGUCCGUAGCCGGUUUGGUCAGUCCUCCGGGAAAUCUGACGGCUUAACCGUUAGGCUUUCGGGGGGUACUGCCAGGCUUGGAACCGGGAGAGGUAAGAGGUACUACAGGGGUAGGAGUGAAAUCUUGUAAUCCCUGUGAGACCACCUGUGGCGAAGGCGUCUUACCAGAACGGGUUCGACGGUGAGGGACGAAAGCUGGGGGCACGAACCGGAUUAGAUACCCGGGUAGUCCCAGCCGUAACGAUGCUCGCUAGGUGUCAGGCAUGGCGCGACCGUGUCUGGUGCCGCAGGGAAGCCGUGAAGCGAGCCACCUGGGAAGUACGGCCGCAAGGCUGAAACUUAAAGGAAUUGGCGGGGGAGCAC